CAACUUCAGAUAGGGCUAAAAUAUGAGGACUGAUCAUGAAAAAAGCAAGUUCAUUCUAGUCUACAUGUUAACUUCUGCUUCCAACAUACAACGAGAAAGAAGAGGAGUUCAAGGACCAUUCAGGGUCCACUCACUCAGCCCUAUCCACAAACUCUCAAGGUCCUAUUUCCUCCUACAACACCCUGAUGAGAAGCAAAAAGCGUGGUCCAAUGACUUGGAUACAGAACUCAUCAGUGCCUAAUGUGCCCAGCAGAGGGUCCACCAGAAGCCCUGCGGGUGGUCGGUCUGGGGGCAGCCCUGGUAGUGAUGAAGGAUCUCCUACCUUGACAUUUUUCGAAAAACAGUUUUUCCAGUGUUUAAGGUUUCUGAAAGUUAAGCACACAAUAUGCUACAGUUCUACAGCUACAGUAUAAUUCAAAAUGUGUUUGACAGUAGUCAACAUGUACCAUUAUAGGCCAUAACGAGAUGCAUUGUCACAGCUCAGUGAUAUCACUUGCAGAUGUGUGUAGAUCAACCAGUGUCCUGUUUAUUUUUUUAGAAACAAAAUUACAUAUGUCAUUCAGUUGUGGCUUGUUAGCUCUGAUAAAGACUUACUCAUGUACAUGUUCAUGUAUGUGUCUAAUAUUACAUAUCACAGUGGACUCAGGAUAAUAGAGAGUAUUAAAAGCUUUGAAACAAUAGCAGCAAAACCUAACCUAGACUAAUUUCCUGGCUAGUCUUUCACUCUCAGCUUUGUAGAUAAGUGUAGAAUGGUGCAUUGCCAUUAUCUGUUAUUAUUAAUAAAUACAGUGCAUUCGGAAAGUA